rnacentral:rRNA from 1 species
CCCCGGCUAACUACGUGCCAGCAGCCGCGGUAAUACGUAGGGGGCAAGCGUUGUCCGGAAUUAUUGGGCGUAAAGCGCGCGCAGGCGGUCCUUUAAGUCUGAUGUGAAAGCCCACGGCUCAACCGUGGAGGGUCAUUGGAAACUGGAGGACUUGAGUACAGAAGAGGAGAGUGGAAUUCCACGUGUAGCGGUGAAAUGCGUAGAGAUGUGGAGGAACACCAGUGGCGAAGGCGACUCUCUGGUCUGUAACUGACGCUGAGGCGCGAAAGCGUGGGGAGCGAACAGGAUUAGAUACCCUGGUAGUCCACGCCGUAAACGAUGAGUGCUAGGUGUUAGGGGGUUUCCGCCCCUUAGUGCUGAAGUUAACGCAUUAAGCACUCCGCCUGGGGAGUACGGCCGCAAGGCUGAAACUCAAAAGAAUUGACGGGGGCCCGCACAAGCGGUGGAGCAUGUGGUUUAAUUCGACGCAACGCGAAGAACCUUACCAGGUCUUGACAUCCUCUGCAAUCGGUAGAGAUACCGAGUUCCCUUCGGGGACAGAGUGACAGGUGGUGCAUGGUUGUCGUCAGCUCGUGUCGUGAGAUGUUGGGUUAAGUCCCGCAACGAGCGCAACCCUUGAUCUUAGUUGCCAGCAUUUAGUUGGGCACUCUAAGGUGACUGCCGGUGACAAACCGGAGGAAGGUGGGGAUGACGUCAAAUCAUCAUGCCCCUUAUGACCUGGGCUACACACGUGCUACAAUGGAUGGAACAAAGGGAAGCAAAACCGCGAGGUCAAGCAAAUCCCAUAAAACCAUUCUCAGUUCGGAUUGCAGGCUGCAACUCGCCUGCAUGAAGCCGGAAUCGCUAGUAAUCGCGGAUCAGCAUGCCGCGGUGAAUACGUUCCCGGGCCUUGUACACACCGCCCGUCACACCACGAGA